rnacentral:tRNA from 1 species
GCUCAGUGGUAGAGCACACCCUUGGUAAGGGUGAGGUCACGAGUUCAAUCCUCGUCA